rnacentral:snRNA from 1 species
AGAUCUUGGUGGUAGUAG